GAUGAACGCUGGCGGCGUGCCUAAUACAUGCAAGUCGAGCGAACGGACGAGAAGCUUGCUUCUCUGAUGUUAGCGGCGGACGGGUGAGUAACACGUGGAUAACCUACCUAUAAGACUGGGAUAACUUCGGGAAACCGUAGCUAAUACCGGAUAAUAUUUUGAACCGCAUGGUUCAAAAGUGAAAGACGGUCUUGCUGUCACUUAUAGAUGGAUCCGCGCUGCAUUAGCUAGUUGGUAAGGUAACGGCUUACCAAGGCAACGAUGCAUAGCCGACCUGAGAGGGUGAUCGGCCACACUGGAACUGAGACAUGGUCCAGACUCCUACGGGAGGCAGCAGUAGGGAAUCUUCCGCAAUGGGCGAAGGCCUGACGGAGCAACGCCGCGUGAGUGAUGAAGGUCUUCGGAUCGUAAAACUCUGUUAUUAGGGAAGAACAUAUGUGUAAGUAACUGUGCACAUCUUGACGGUACCUAAUCAGAAAGCCACGGCUAACUACGUG
rnacentral:rRNA from 1 species